UCUCCCCUACGCCCACAUCCAACGUCCCAGAUUACUUCUCCUCCCUUAAUUUCCAUCAGUUACGCCUAUCAAAGCUAAAUUGCCAUUAAUUAGGUUUUAUUAAGCUUAUUUUGCUCCAGCUUUUCAUCCGCAACGGAUGAAAUCAUUUAGCACCACCAUUAUUCUCUAAUUUGCAGAUCAAUUGCUCAUACGUUAGAAAAAUAAAAGAUAGUACCAUUAUUCUGCUAAUCUGCUGCUUCCCAAUCCCGUGAAAUAUUUUAACUAUAUAAACCCCCUAAAAUGUUAUCUUGCACAGGUUCUCAGUGCUUUCCAAUCUCCCUUCUCUAUUAAGAUUCAUUUAUGUAAACUUCUCUGAUUUUGGUAUUUUUCAUGGAAAUUUCUCUGAUUUUGAUACCGAUGUUCGAUAUUAUUUAUUUAGUUUUUUCCCAGAAUUUUUUUUCUCGGUUGCAGAUUUUUGUUGUUGUUGGUGACUGAAAGAUUUCUCGACGAACCAACAUUCGUAUGUAAACGUUAAAAAAAAUUUCGAAGUGGUUGUCAUUCAUAUGAAUCGUUAAUAGGUGAUGAUUGCACUUGAUGAGUCUGAUUCCGGGGUUACUGUGAUCAAUUUGGUGCGCACUGACAUUCACUAAGACAGGUUCGUUCUCGCAUGUUUUGUUGUUUAUCUUGAUUUUUUAUUUUUAAAAUACACGAAAGAUGAACUUACUACUGGAAAAUAAGGAAAAUGAGAGAUGAAAUGUGGUGCAAUCUAAAUCAGUAGUACGCUAGCUGAAGACCACGUUGAAAGAUCACGCCCUGUCUGAUCAUACUAAGCACAUCAACAAUAUCGUAAGACAAAGUUCGACUGUGAUCUAAUCGAGGUGUUGUCAUCGUAUUUUGCUUGCUAACAUCUGCAAAAAGAUAUCCUCCAAUGCUAUUAGCAUUUGCAAUCAAUUGGAUGGCACUAGAGAAGGUCGAGAGGAUGUUUCACUAUUUAAAUUCUCCAUCAAAUAUCUUGCAAGGGAUACUGUUAAUAAGGAAGGCAAUGUAGAUUUGGGGAUGCAAAGGUUGCGGUAAAGUGAAAGUUGGUGGUUCCUACAUUGUGAAGUAAGUAAUUCCUCUCCUUCCUUCCACGCCGGUGCUCUCUCACAGGCAUUCACACAAUUGUUAUUCUACAUUACAAAUGCUUUGUAUUACAGUUGACUUAUUUGAAGUAGAGAGCUGACAGGGGCGACAUCAUGAUGCCACAAUUUCCUAUGGUAGCACAUUAAAUGAUUCAAAUGAUAAAUAAUUAAUGUGUAUACUGA